rnacentral:tRNA from 1 species
GGGCAGGUGGCAGAGCGGUUGAAUGCGCUGCUCUCGAAAAGCAGUAUGGGUGUGAGCCCAUCGGGGGUUCGAAUCCCCCUCUGCCCGCCA